rnacentral:tRNA from 2 species
ACUUUCUUAGUAUAAAUAGUAUUAGUGACUUCCAAUCACUCAGCCUUGGUUAAACCCCAAGAGAAAGUA